AUGCUUCAACACUUUGUACAGAAAACAUUGUCCAUAUGCUAUGCAAAGAAAACUUGGAUAUAUCUUUCCUACAACUCGCCCUCCUCUCUAGAUCCCCCAGAAAUAUCGGAGAGGUCUUUCUGCACCAGAAGUCACUCGGACACACAGUGUACCUGCGUGGUUGAGUCAAACCCUCCCUCCGGUGUGUGGUGGAUCUGGGACAACAGCGAUAAGAAGUCUCCUCAGAUGCAGGAUGGUUUCACGACCAUGGCGGUGGAUCUUCUUCCACCGGAUCUUCACCAGAUUGUGUGCUUUGCUAGUAAUAUACAUGGCAACACAACGAAAAUUCUCCAUGUAAAAAAAGACCUGUUGUAUGUUUACAUAUCACUGGGUGCGGUCUGCGCUCUUCUUUUGCUGAUCAUCCUGACUCUCAUCUUUCUUGGCUUCAGGAAACGCUCCAGGACACAGCAGUGAGUCCUAUGUGCUCAUUUCCUCUAUGUACCGUCUAGUUUUGAAAUUGUAUUUUCCACAAUGAUCUGUAUUUCCCCACCCCAGGGAAAAAUUUGAAAAUAUACUACCACUACUACUACUGCUACCACCACCACCACUACUACUACUACUGCCACUACUACUACUACUGGGUCUAUUUGAUUUUACACUGAUGAUUACAAUGAUCUGUAUUUUCUCACCUCUAGGCAAACAUGUGAAACACCAAGUCAUCUCAACAAUUCAAAGUAAGAUGUUCAAUUAGGUUUGAGGUUUAAGUUAUGUACUACUACUAUCACCACCACUAACACUAGCUAUGUACUGCUAUAGCUUCCACUACUACUACUACUACCACUACUACUACUGCUACUGCCACUACUACUACUACUACUAUUACUACUACUACUAUUACUGCUACUACUGCUGCUGCUACUACUGCUACUGCUAUUACUACUAUUACUGCAACUACUGCUACGACUACUUAUACUACUACUGCUACUACUAUUACGACUACUACUACUUAUACUGCCAGUACUACUACUGCUACUACUACUGCCAGUACUUCUACUACCACCAACACUACUGCUACUGCUGCUACUGCUUCCACUACUACUGCUACUACUACUACUCCACCCACUACUACUGUUACUGCCACUACUACUGCUGCUAUGCCACUACUACUGCUACUGCUACUACUACUACUAUUACUGCUACUGGGUUUAUGUAUUUGUCACAAUGAUCUGUAUUUUCCAACCCCUAGGCAAACAUGUGAAACACAAAAUCCUGUCUACGAUCCACAGUAAGGUGUUCAAUUAUUGUCUGUGUCCGGUUUAAGUUAUGUACUACUACUAUCACCACCACUGGUAGCUAUGUACUGCUACAGCUACCACCACCACUACUGCUACUACUGCCACUAAUACUACUGCUACAUCCACUUAUACUACUACUGCCACUACUAUUUUCCCACCCCUAGGCAAACAUGUGAUCAUCUCUACAAUUCACAGUAAGAUGUUCAAUUAGGUUUGAGGUUUAAGUUAUGUACUACUACCACCAUCACCACCACUAACACUAGCUAUGUACUGCUACAGCUUCCACUACUACUACUACUACUGCUACUAUUACUGCUACUUACGCCACUUCCUCUGCUACUAUUACUAUUUCUACUACUACUACCAGUACUACUUCUGCCACUACUACUGCCACUUCUACUGUUACUACAUCUACUACUACUACUGCUACCAUCACUAUUACUACAAUUUCUGCUACCACUACUACUACUAAUAAUAAUAAUCAUAAUAAUAAAAUCUACAAUAAUCAUUGUGGCGACA
ensembl:lncRNA